rnacentral:rRNA from 1 species
UACGUAGGGGGCAAGCGUUGUCCGGAUUUAUUGGGCGUAAAGAGCGUGUAGGCGGCCACACAGGUCAGCUGUGAAAACUCGAGGCUCAACCUCGAGACGUCGGUUGAAACCGUAUGGCUAGAGUCCGGAAGAGGAGAGUGGAAUUCCCGGUGUAGCGGUGAAAUGCGCAGAUAUCGGGAAGAACCCCCGUGGCGAAGGCGGCUCUCUGGGACGGUACUGACGCUGAGACGCGAAAGCGUGGGGAGCGAACGGG